GAUGAAGAACGUAGCGAAAUGCGAUACGUAAUGUGAAUUGCAGAACUCAGUGAAUCAUCGAAUCUUUGAACGCAUCUUGCACUCUUUGGUUAUUCCGAAGAGUAUGCUUGUUUGAGUGUCGCGAACUUCUCAACCCCGCUCUAGCAAUAGAGUAGUCUGGGCUUUGGAUCAUGGUCUCUUUGCCGUAGUCUCUUGUAGACUUUAUAGGCUAGACUUAAAUGUAGCAAGCUGAAUACAUAAAACAACGGCUUGACCUGAUGUUGUAGACUAUUAACCUCAUCGGGGAUCGUUGUUAGGAGUAAGAGCUUUAACCCUCAAUCACUGUAAUAGUGCAUUAUGACCUCAAAUCAAGUAGGACUACCCGCUGAACUUAAGCAUAUCAAUAAGCGGAGGA
rnacentral:misc_RNA from 1 species